AUGAACGCUGGCGGCGUGCCUAAUACAUGCAAGUCGAGCGAACAGAUGAGGAGCUUGCUCCUCUGACGUUAGCGGCGGACGGGUGAGUAACACGUGGAUAACCUACCUAUAAGACUGGGAUAACUUCGGGAAACCGGAGCUAAUACCGGAUAAUAUAUUGAACCGCAUGGUUCCAUAGUGAAAGACGGUUUUGCUGUCACUUAUAGAUGGAUCCGCGCCGCAUUAGCUAGUUGGUAAGGUAACGGCUUACCAAGGCAACGAUGCGUAGCCGACCUGAGAGGAUGAUCGGCCACACUGGAACUGAGACACGGUCCAGACUCCUACGGGAGGCAGCAGUAGGGAAUCUUCCGCAAUGGGCGAAAGCCUGACGGAGCAACGCCGCGUGAGUGAUGAAGGUCUUCGGAUCGUAAAACUCUGUUAUUAGGGAAGAACAAAUGUGUAAGUAACUAUGCACGUCUUGACGGUACCUAAUCAGAAAGCCACGGCUAACUACGUG
rnacentral:rRNA from 1 species